GAUGAACGCUGGCGGCGUGCCUAAUACAUGCAAGUCGAGCGAAUGGAUUAAGAGCUUGCUCUUAUGAAGUUAGCGGCGGACGGGUGAGUAACACGUGGGUAACCUGCCCAUAAGACUGGGAUAACUCCGGGAAACCGGGGCUAAUACCGGAUAAUAUUUUGAACUGCAUGGUUCAAAAUUGAAAGGCGGCUUCGGCUGUCACUUAUGGAUGGGCCCGCGUCGCAUUAGCUAGUUGGUGAGGUAACGGCUCACCAAGGCAACGAUGGGUAGCCGAACUGGGAGGUGAGUCGGCCACACUGGGACUGGGACACGGCCCAGACUCCUACGGGAGGCAGCAGUAGGGAAUCUUCCGCAAUGGACGAAAGUCUGACGGAGCAACGCCGCGUGAGUGAUGAAGGCUUUCGGGUCGUAAAACUCUGUUGUUAGGGAAGAACAAGUGCUAGUUGAAUAAGCUGGCACCUUGACGGUACCUAACCAGAAAGCCACGGCUAACUACGUGCCAGCCGCCGCGGUAA
rnacentral:rRNA from 1 species